rnacentral:lncRNA from 1 species
ACGGGGGACGGGGAGAUGUGCAUUGGGAACAUGGAAGAGAAUUGAGAUGAAGGAUUGGGAAUAAUUAAAAUUUGCAAGAAAAUAACCAAAAUAAAAAAAAUUGCUUCAGUUUUUUAAUCCAUUUAAAUAUUGAUUAAAUCUAUUACUAAAAAAAAUACAAAAUGAAAAAACAUCAUAUAUAAAACUCACGUGAAUUCAAAGUAUUUUACAAAAGAAUUCAAACAUCAAUAAAAAUUCUUAUAAAAUAUUUUAUACUAAAAAAGUAUAAUAUAUAGAUAUUUAAUAUAUAUAUGAAUUUAAAAAAUAAGAAUAUUUUCAAACAUGUAUUUAAAAAAUAAUUAUGCUUUUAUGAAUAAAAUUAUAAAAAAUCAUUGUUUUAAAAGUCUAAUCAAAAAGAUAAAUUAAAUAAAUCUCGAUUUAAAAAAAAACAUCACCACAAUUAUUUCUAAUUCAGAAAAGUAUAAGCUUAUAUAA